UGGGUCUAAUACCGGAUAUGACUCCGAGUCGCAUGGUUCGGGGUGGAAAGUUCCGGCGGUGCAGGAUGAACCCGCGGCCUAUCAGCUUGUUGGUGGGGUAAUGGCCUACCAAGGCGACGACGGGUAGCCGGCCUGAGAGGGCGACCGGCCACACUGGGACUGAGACACGGCCCAGACUCCUACGGGAGGCAGCAGUGGGGAAUAUUGCGCAAUGGGCGAAAGCCUGACGCAGCGACGCCGCGUGAGGGAUGACGGCCUUCGGGUUGUAAACCUCUUUCGCCAGGGACGAAGCGAGAGUGACGGUACCUGGAGAAGAAGCACCGGCUGACUACGUGCCAGCAGCCGCGGUAAUACGUAGGGUGCGAGCGUUGUCCGGAAUUAUUGGGCGUAAAGAGCUCGUAGGCGGUUUGUUGCGUCGGUCGUGAAAACCUGGGGCUUAACCCUGGGCUUGCGGUCGAUACGGGCAGACUUGAGUUCGGUAGGGGAGACUGGAAUUCCUGGUGUAGCGGUGAAAUGCGCAGAUAUCAGGAGGAACACCGGUGGC
rnacentral:rRNA from 1 species